rnacentral:rRNA from 1 species
GGGUUGUGAGGUUAAGCGACUAAGCGUACACGGUGGAUGCCCUGGCAGUCAGAGGCGAUGAAGGGCGUGCUAAUCUGCGAUAAGCGCCGGUAAGGUGAUAUGAACCGUUAUAACCGGCGAUACCCGAAUGGGGAAACCCAGUGUGACUCGUCACACUAUCAUUAACUGAAUCCAUAGGUUAAUGAGGCGAACCGGGGGAACUGAAACAUCUAAGUACCCCGAGGAAAAGAAAUCAACCGAGAUUCCCCCAGUAGCGGCGAGCGAACGGGGAGGAGCCCAGAGCCUGAAUCAGCAUGUGUGUUAGUGGAAGCGUCUGGAAAGGCGCGCGAUACAGGGUGACAGCCCCGUACACAAAAGCGCAUGUGCUGUGAGCUCGAUGAGUAGGGCGGGACACGUGAUAUCCUGUCUGAAUAUGGGGGGACCAUCCUCCAAGGCUAAAUACUCCUGACUGACCGAUAGUGAACCAGUACCGUGAGGGAAAGGCGAAAAGAACCCCGGCGAGGGGAGUGAAAAAGAACCUGAAACCGUGUACGUACAAGCAGUGGGAGCACCCUUUUGGGUGUGACUGCGUACCUUUUGUAUAAUGGGUCAGCGACUUAUAUUCUGUAGCAAGGUUAACCGAAUAGGGGAGCCGGAGGGAAACCGAGUCUUAACCGGGCGUUAAGUUGCAGGGUAUAGACCCGAAACCCGGUGAUCUAGCCAUGGGCAGGUUGAAGGUUGGGUAACACUAACUGGAGGACCGAACCGACUAAUGUUGAAAAAUUAGCGGAUGACCUGUGGCUGGGGGUGAAAGGCCAAUCAAACCGGGAGAUAGCUGGUUCUCCCCGAAAGCUAUUUAGGUAGCGCCUCGUGAAUUCAUCUCCGGGGGUAGAGCACUGUUUCGGCUAGGGGGCCAUCCCGGCUUACCAACCCGAUGCAAACUGCGAAUACCGGAGAAUGUUAUCACGGGAGACACACGGCGGGUGCUAACGUCCGUCGUGAAGAGGGAAACAACCCAGACCGCCAGCUAAGGUCCCAAAGUCAUGGUUAAGUGGGAAACGAUGUGGGAAGGCCCAGACAGCCAGGAUGUUGGCUUAGAAGCAGCCAUCAUUUAAAGAAAGCGUAAUAGCUCACUGGUCGAGUCGGCCUGCGCGGAAGAUGUAACGGGGCUAAACCAUGCACCGAAGCUGCGGCAGCGAACGUAUCACUUAAAGCGAUUCAGCGGGUUACGAUUGACGGAGCGAAGCGACGUCAAAGCGUAUACAAAGUCGAGUCGGUUUAAGGAUACGUU